GACGAACGCUGGCGGCGUGCUUAACACAUGCAAGUCGAACGGAAAGGCCCUGCUUUUGUGGGGUGCUCGAGUGGCGAACGGGUGAGUAACACGUGAGUAACCUGCCCUUGACUUUGGGAUAACUUCAGGAAACUGGGGCUAAUACCGGAUAGGAGCUCCUGCUGCAUGGUGGGGGUUGGAAAGUUUCGGCGGUUGGGGAUGGACUCGCGGCUUAUCAGCUUGUUGGUGGGGUAGUGGCUUACCAAGGCUUUGACGGGUAGCCGGCCUGAGAGGGUGACCGGCCACAUGGGGACUGAGAUACGGCCCAGACUCCUACGGGAGGCAGCAGUGGCGAAUAUUGCACAAUGGGCGGAAGCCUGAUGCAGCAACGCCGCGUGCGGGAUGACGGCCUUCGGGUUGUAAACCGCUUUCGCCUGUGACGAAGCGUGAGUGACGGUAAUGGGUAAAGAAGCACCGGCUAACUACGUG
rnacentral:rRNA from 1 species